UAUUGGACAAUGGGCGAAAGCCUGAUCCAGCCAUGCCGCGUGUGUGAAGAAGGUCUUCGGAUUGUAAAGCACUUUAAGUUGGGAGGAAGGGCAGUAAAUUAAUACUUUGCUGUUUUGACGUUACCGACAGAAUAAGCACCGGCUAACUCUGUGCCAGCAGCCGCGGUAAUACAGAGGGUGCAAGCGUUAAUCGGAAUUACUGGGCGUAAAGCGCGCGUAGGUGGUUUGUUAAGUUGGAUGUGAAAUCCCCGGGCUCAACCUGGGAACUGCAUUCAAAACUGACUGACUAGAGUAUGGUAGAGGGUGGUGGAAUUUCCUGUGUAGCGGUGAAAUGCGUAGAUAUAGGAAGGAACACCAGUGGCGAAGGCGACCACCUGGACUAAUACUGACACUGGGGUGCGAA
rnacentral:rRNA from 1 species